rnacentral:rRNA from 1 species
GACGAACCGAGCGAACGUUGUUCGGGAUCACUGGGCUUAAAGGGCGCGUAGGCGGGCGGCCGCGUCCGGGGUGAAAUCCCACGGCUCAACCGUGGAACGGCCUCGGAUACGGGCGGCCUGGAGGCGGGUAGGGGCAGGCGGAACUGUGGGUGGAGCGGUGAAAUGCGUUGAGAUCCACAGGAACUCCGGUGGCGAAGGCGGCCUGCUGGACCCGAACUGACGCUGAGGCGCGAAAGCCAGGGGAGCGAACGGG